AGGACGAACGCUGGCGGCGUGCUUAACACAUGCAAGUCGAGCGGUAAGGCCUUUCGGGGUACACGAGCGGCGAACGGGUGAGUAACACGUGGGUGAUCUGCCCUGCACUUCGGGAUAAGCCUGGGAAACUGGGUCUAAUACCGGAUAUGACCUCAGGUUGCAUGACUUGGGGUGGAAAGAUUUAUCGGUGCAGGAUGGGCCCGCGGCCUAUCAGCUUGGUUGGUGGGGUAAUGGCCU
rnacentral:rRNA from 1 species